GUUCAACCGUGGAGGGUCAUUGGAAACUGGGGGACUUGAGUGUAGGAGAGGAAAGUGGAAUUCCACGUGUAGCGGUGAAAUGCGUAGAUAUGUGGAGGAACACCAGUGGCGAAGGCGACUUUCUGGCCUACAACUGACGCUGAGGCGCGAAAGCGUGGGGAGCAAACAGGAUUAGAUACCCUGGUAGUCCACGCCGUAAACGAUGAGUGCUAGGUGUUAGGGGUUUCGAUACCCUUAGUGCCGAAGUUAACACAUUAAGCACUCCGCCUGGGGAGUACGGCCGCAAGGCUGAAACUCAAAGGAAUUGACGGGGGCCCGCACAAGCAGUGGAGCAUGUGGUUUAAUUCGAAGCAACGCGAAGAACCUUACCAGGUCUUGACAUCCUCUGACACCUCUGGAGACAGAGCGUUCCCCUUCGGGGGACAGAGUGACAGGUGGUGCAUGGUUGUCGUCAGCUCGUGUCGUGAGAUGUUGGGUUAAGUCCCGCAACGAGCGCAACCCUUGAUCUUAGUUGCCAGCAUUCAGUUGGGCACUCUAAGGUGACUGCCGGUGAUAAACCGGAGGAAGGUGGGGAUGACGUCAAUCAUCAUGCCCCUUAUGACCUGGGCUACACACGUGCUACAAUGGAUGGUACAAAGGGCAGCGAGACCGCGAGGUUAAGCGAAUCCCAUAAAGCCAUUCUCAGUUCGGAUUGCAGCUGCAACUCGCCUGCAUGAAGCCAGAAUUGCUAGUAAUCACGGAUCACAUGCCGCGAUGAAUACGUUCCCGGG
rnacentral:rRNA from 1 species